ensembl:lncRNA SCAANT1 SCA7/ATXN7 antisense RNA 1
GUCAGGACGAAGUACCGUGUGCACGCCACGCCGCCCACAUGUGUGCCCCCGACCCGCAAUUGGAAGUCACACUGUGCGCCUGGGGAACUUGAAUUCGUCCAGCAAAGAGAGAACAUGAGAUCAGUGUGCGAGGGAAUGGAGGAGAGUGAAACAAACCGAGAGAAGCUUUAACCCGUGUACAUAUUUUAGAGGCACCACCCCAAGUUUCUGGAAGUGAUUCAUUCACCCCAAAAGUAAAAAUCUGAUUCAUUUUUA